rnacentral:rRNA from 1 species
UGAACGCUGACAGAAUGCUUAACACAUGCAAGUCUACUUGAACUUCGGUUUGGGUGGCGGACGGGUGAGUAACGCGUAAAGAACUUGCCUCACAGUUAGGGACAACAUUUGGAAACGAAUGCUAAUACCUGAUAUUAUGAUUUUAGGGCAUCCUAAGAUUAUGAAAGCUAUAUGCACUGUGAGAGAGCUUUGCGUCCCAUUAGCUAGUUGGAGAGGUAACGGCUCACCAAGGCGAUGAUGGGUAGCCGGCCUGAGAGGGUGAACGGCCACAAGGGGACUGAGACACGGCCCUUACUCCUACGGGAGGCAGCAGUGGGGAAUAUUGGACAAUGGACCAAAAGUCUGAUCCAGCAAUUCUGUGUGCACGAUGACGUUUUUCGGAAUGUAAAGUGCUUUCAGUUGGGAAGAAAAAAAUGACGGUACCAACAGAAGAAGUGACGGCUAAAUACGUG